UGUCUGGGAAACUGCCUGAUGGAGGGGGAUAACUACUGGAAACGGUAGCUAAUACCGCAUAAUGUCGCAAGACCAAAGAGGGGGACCUUCGGGCCUCUUGCCAUCGGAUGUGCCCAGAUGGGAUUAGCUAGUAGGUGGGGUAACGGCUCACCUAGGCGACGAUCCCUAGCUGGUCUGAGAGGAUGACCAGCCACACUGGAACUGAGACACGGUCCAGACUCCUACGGGAGGCAGCAGUGGGGAAUAUUGCACAAUGGGCGCAAGCCUGAUGCAGCCAUGCCGCGUGUAUGAAGAAGGCCUUCGGGUUGUAAAGUACUUUCAGCGGGGAGGAAGGGAGUAAAGUUAAUACCUUUGCUCAUUGACGUUACCCGCAGAAGAAGCACCGGCUAACUCCGUGCCAGCAGCCGCGGUAAUACGGAGGGUGCAAGCGUUAAUCGGAAUUACUGGGCGUAAAGCGCACGCAGGCGGUUUGUUAAGUCAGAUGUGAAUCCCCGGGCUCAACCUGGGAACUGCAUCUGAUACUGGCAAGCUUGAGUCUCGUAGAGGGGGGUAGAAUUCCAGGUGUAGCGGUGAAAUGCGUAGAGAUCUGGAGGAAUACCGGUGGCGAAGGCG
rnacentral:rRNA from 1 species